AUGCCUCCUUUCAAGGUCACCCCUUCAAUCAGUAUACUGUCUUUGCUAUUUGCAGGAGCUAUAACUUAAGGACUUCCUGGGGAUGUGCUACAUACAUAGGAUGAGUUGGCACAGUAAGUCUGUUAGGUAUUUACUUGCUGUCCUGUAUCAGCUCCUUCAUGAGACAGAGAUUAUCUAUCCUUUUAAUAUCAAAGAGCUCCAGUGCUAGAGAAAUACUUACUAGUUUCCACCUAGAAGAUCCCUUGGUCAGGGUUGCAAACUACAGGUUAAAUACCAGCUCAGUCAAUACUGAGACAAACUCUGUGGACAAUUAAGCAUUGAGUUUCAAAACAAGGAAGAACGUGAAGACUGGAACAAGGAAUGAGUUACCCAUCAUAAUGGCAAUCCAGAUGUUUUCCUAAACAGGAGCAGCUGAGAGGCUAGAUUGAAGCUCUGAGCUGCAGUAACCAGGACAACAUACAAGCAUUAAUAAAAAGCUUGACCCCAGUCUUGCAAUGAAUGCCACAAGACCCCACAUCUACACAGAUGUACUGCCUACAAGAACAUAACUCUUCUAAUGAGGACAGUUCUGCUAAAUUUCAUGGACUAGGCAACUCCAACAUUCUCAGUGCCUGUUACCUGCAUGGUGAUUACUAU